rnacentral:lncRNA from 1 species
UUGGAAUUUAAACCCAGAUCUUCCAGCUUUAUCUAUCUUGACACAUACCACCAGUGGCUUGUUUCUUCUGGCUGCUGGGGAAGGUGGAGGGCCAGAUGGGCGUUUUUGGAUAGCCAAGAAGGGAAGAGGAUCAGGGAUUUAGCUCUUAGAAAUCAUCCAAUCCAGAAAAGGAAACUGAGGUCCAGAAAUUUAAAGGCCUGUGUGUGUGUGUGUGUGUGUGUGUGUGUGUGUGUGUGUAUGUGUAUGUGUAGGGGUGGGGUGGGGAUCGGUGCUGAGGAAGCAGAAGUAUUUCCUCCGAAAUGUCUCCGAAGUCUGUAUUACUCCCGCUUCACUCGGGAUUGGGCAAAGUGCGAACGCGCUCGCUCUGCGCCAAGCCCUCCCAGCUCCGGAUUCGGAGACCGAACCUGGACUCUGGGUUCCGGCCCCUCACCUCGGCAACAACUCCCAGAGCUCCAGGAUUGAGCCACAUCCCAUACUUGAACUAAGAAUUCUCAUCGCUGCACUGCUAGCUGCUUCUGUCUUGCUGCCACCCCUGGAGCUUCAUGAUUUCCUAUAAUACAUCUCUGCGUGUAGCUGUACUCUGUCAGACCUUCCUUCUCUUCUGUCCUCCAGGUUCCUUGUGGCAUGUGCCCUUUUCCCUGUACCCCUUAAUGACCAAACCUAAAAGUAAUAGCUAAGUAAUGUCACCUUAGUUCGAACUUGAGUUUGUGCCAAAAGGCUAAUCCAAGAGUGAAUCAGUUUAUGCCUUGCUCAGGUAACAAUAUUCAGGUAACAGUAGAUGGAAGAAAAGUUGGACUAGAUGGCCCCUUUGGUUCUUCUACCUAUCAAUCCAUCAACAAAUAUUUCCUAAAGGCCUAUAUGUGCUAGGCACUAUGCUAGAACCAGAUGGUCACUUUGGUCCCUUCCACCUAUCAAUCUAUCAAUAAACUUUAACUAAGGGCCCUCUAUGUAUUAGGUACUAUGUUAAUCUCUGGAAAUACAAAAAGAAGCUGCCCUCAAAAAGCUCACAAUUUAAUACAUCUGUGAUCAUCAUAUCCCUAUGAUAGGUUUAAAUGACACCUCUUGCUAUUUAUUACCUACUAGUGUCAGUCAACUAGCAUUUAAAAGUCUGUACUUACUCUGUGCCAGGCAAAUAAAGGUGAAAAAAACAAAAUGAACCCUGUUCUCAAGGAGCUCACAAUCUAAUAAGGGAGGUGAUAGGCAAACUACUAUGUACAAUCUAUAGGCAGGAUAAACUUUGGGCAGUCUCAUAGGGAAGGCUCUAAGAGUGAGGACGACUAGGAAACUCUUCUUGCAGAAGGGAAGACGUUGGCUAAGACCUAAAAGAAACUAAGGAAGCCAAGAAGGAGUAGAUGAGAUCACUGAACCUUAGGCAAGACUUCCCAGUCUUAAGAGACUCAUGUGGAUUUUGUGUAACAUAAGACGGAACUAUAUACAGGAUCACUAAGAGUCUUUCUAGCUCUGAAUCCUAUGAUUCUGUGCCAAGUCAGGGUAGCAGUCUCUAGA